rnacentral:rRNA from 1 species
GUGCCAGCCGCCGCGGUAAUACGUAGGUGGCGAGCGUUGUCCGGAAUUACUGGGCGUAAAGGGCGCGUAGGCGGCUAAUCAAGUCAGAUGUGAAAACCCUAGGCUUAACCUGGGGAUUGCAUUUGAAACUGAGUAGCUCGAGUGUCGGAGAGGAAAGCGGAAUUCCUAGUGUAGCGGUGAAAUGCGUAGAUAUUAGGAGGAACACCAGUGGCGAAGGCGGCUUUCUGGACGAUAACUGACGCUGAGGCGCGAAAGCGUGGGGAGCAAACAGGAUUAGAUACCCUGGUAGUCCACGCCGUAAACGAUGGAUACUAGGUGUGGGAGGUAUCGAACCCUUCCGUGCCGCAGUAAACGCAAUAAGUAUCCCGCCUGGGGAGUACGGCCGCAAGGUUGAAACUCAAAGAAAUUGACGG